rnacentral:rRNA from 1 species
UAUCAAUAAGCGGAGGAAAAGAAACCAACAGGGAUUGCCCCAGUAACGGCGAGUGAAGCGGCAGCAGCUCAAAUUUGAAAUCUGGCGCCCCCCCGGGGCGCCCGAGUUGUACUUUGCAGAGGAUGCUUUUGGCGAGGCGCCUUCCGAGUUCCCUGGAACGGGACGCCGCAGAGGGUGAGAGCCCCGUCUGGUCGGCCGCCGAGCCUCUGUAAAGCUCCUUCGACGAGUCGAGUAGUUUGGGAAUGCUGCUCUAAAUGGGAGGUAUAUGUCUUCUAAAGCUAAAUACCGGCCAGAGACCGAUAGCGCACAAGUAGAGUGAUCGAAAGAUGAAAAGCACCUUGAAAAGGGGGUUAAACAGUACGUGAAAUUGUUGAAAGGGAAGCGCUCGCGACCAGACGUGGCCCGGGCGGAUCACCCGGCGGUCCCCCGCCGGUGCACUCCGCCCUGGCCAGGCCAGCAUCAGCUCGCGCCGGGGGACAAAGGCGGCGGGAACGUGGCUCCCCAGGGAGUGUUAUAGCCCGCCGCGCAAUGCCCUGGGGCGGGCUGAGGUUCGCGCUUAGGCACGGAUGCUGGCGUAAUGGUCGCCAGCGGCCCGUCUUGAAACACGGACCAAGGAGUCGUCUUCGUAUGCGAGUGUUCGGGUGGCAAACCCCUACGCGGAAUGAAAGUGAACGCGGGUGAGAGCUUCGGCGCAUCAUCGACCGAUCCUGAUGUCCUCGGAUGGAUUUGAGUAGGAGCAUACGGGGCCGGACCCGAAAGAAGGUGAACUAUGCCUGCGUAGGGUGAAGCCAGAGGAAACUCUGGUGGAGGCUCGCAGCGGUUCUGACGUGCAAAUCGAUCGUCAAACGUGGGCAUGGGGGCGAAAGACUAAUCGAACCUUCUAGUAGCUGGUUUC